rnacentral:lncRNA from 1 species
UCCAAUGUGGCCGAUUUUGAGCUUUUCGCUGAGAAUCCCUUGAGUUUCUGUUGAGAUAUUUUGUCUGACCACCAUUGAUACCUCACCGAAGACGAGGUAAGGACCGCUGCCCUUCUUCUUCUCUCUUUUCUGGUUCCUAGGCCAUCAUCACUAUUGCUCGGAUUCAAGCCGGCAAGUCACCGGAUUUUCUUUGAAACAAGGUCUCCCCUGUUUUGACCGUUCGUUCCUUUGUUUGCCAUCCACCCUCGGGCAUGCCUCGUCUUCCGGAUCGCCGUCGCUGUCUUGCCACCGGAAACCACCGUGAAUCGCCGCUCACCGGCUACUACAACCAUCUGAGAUGGCUCUCCACCUUCCUCUGUUUUGAGAAGGAGAGAGAGAGAGCCUUCACGGUUCUCCUGCCCCUCUCUCUUUCCUCUCUC